rnacentral:lncRNA from 1 species
UUUUUACUAAACCAAUGUAGGGAAAACAAAACUUUAUCCCUUCCCUCUUAAGGUCCCAUGCUAGACCUGAGAAUUAAAUUAAGAUAAUAUACAUAAGUAGGAGGAAAACACACUGAUUUAUUUAAUAUACUAGAGUCUUGAACAACAAGAUUUUAAACUGCGCGGUUUUCAUAUGUGGACGUUUUUCAAUAAAAUUUACACCGGUGUGUCUGCCUCUUACCUCCCUUUUCACAGCCUCCACCUUUUCUGUCUUUGCCACCAUGAGACAGCGACCAAUCUCUUCUGCUUCUCCUCCUCCUCAGUCUACUGAAUGUGAGGACAAUGAGGAUGAAGACUUUUGUGAUGAUCUACUUCCACUUAAUGAUUGGGUUCUACAAGGACAGAGAAAUGUCUGAGGUCAGGACAAGUCAAGAAGGACUCAAGUACCUGACUAAAGGUUUACUCAAAGGAAACAGUCUUUGUCACAGGUAGGUCAAGAGAAAUUGUGUUAGUAAAAAUCCUAUUUCUUUAUUUCUUCCUAGAUUAAUCGUUUAUGUAGCAAGGAUAUGGUAGGAAUACAUUUUUUUCAACCACAAAAAUUAUGUUACACUCAGGGCCAUGAUUAAGACACAAAUUUAGAUUUAUACUUUACAAGGAAUGUGUAGUCUGUCUGUGUAUAUAUUUUUUCUGUCUUUAUAUUAACAAUAUUGGGCUUGGCUGAAAGUUUCACAUUGUAGUUUUAUAAACAUUAAAGAAUUUAAGCAUUUUAAAUGAUAAGUAUUACAAAUAUAUCCAAAGUGAUCCACUAUUUAGAUACGUCUUUUCUUACUUUCCAAAUACAUAGAAAGUAUGAUAUAUAAUGUGAUUUAUUAUAGUUCCUAAACCGCCUCCUAUAUGUGAAGAAGAGGGAAAUACAGUAUCUUUAUAUGAAGAAAUUCCAUACUUUUUAUCAUGUAAUAAAUAUCUGCUUUCCAAAAAUAUACCCUAUGUCACCAGUAACCAGUUUUUGUUUUUGUUUUAUUAAUAGGUUAUGUGUUCUAAGAUUUCAGAACAGUAGUAGUCCCCCUUAUCCAUGGAGAAUAUGUUCCAAGACCCUCUGUGGAUGCGUGAAACCAUGGAUAGUACUGAAAGCUAUAUAUUCCUGUACUAUGAUUUUUCUUAUACAUACCCGUGAUAAAGGUUAUAGAUUAGGCACAGAAAGAGAUUAACAACAUUAUUUAAUAUAAAAUUUACCAAUUAUAACAAUAUACUCCAAUAAAAGUUAAGUGAAUAUGGUCCCUCUCUCUUAACAUUUCUUUUUUUUCUUUCUUUCUUUUUUGAGACAGAGUCUCCCUCUGUCACCCAGGCUGGAGUGCAGUUGUGCGAUCUCAGCUCACUGCAACCUUCACCUCCCAGGUUCAGGCGAUUCUCCUGCCUCAGCCUCCUGAGUUGCUGGGACUACAGGU